UGGCGCACAAGGUCUGUUUGAAUUGAGCUCCAAGGGCCUGUAUUUAUAGCAAUUGGGACUGAUAUAUGCACACUUGAAAAAUUGCUAAAUUUGGACAUUUAAUGCACAAGCUUGCAUGGGCGUGUACAUGCUUAUGAAGCAAUCCAAUUUGAUCCACUUGCAUAUGUCCUGGAGUUCAAAUGAGGCUUGGAUGUCAAGGCAAUGUGAAGUGUUAUUUUUGGCAUUUAAUUUCUUCCAAUCAGGCAGCUCUGUU
rnacentral:lncRNA from 1 species